GAUCAUGGCUCAGGACGAACGCUGACGGCGUGCUUAACACAUGCAAGUCGAACGGGGCGCUUAUGAUGGAGAUUUCGGUCAACGGAUUAAGUUGCCUAGUGGCGGACGGGUGAGUAACGCGUGAGUAACCUGCCUUUCAGAGGGGGACAACAGUUGGAAACGACUGCUAAUACCGCAUAAUAUAUAUGGACCGCAUGAUCUGUGUAUCAAAGAUUUAUCGCUGAAAGAUGG
rnacentral:rRNA from 1 species